rnacentral:ncRNA from 2 species
CCGGGGCAAAACGGUUCGGGUGCCCGCGUUCGGACGCGUCAAGCGUCGCGGGUUAAAAGGGAAGCCGGUGCGACUCCGGCGCGGUCCCGCCACUGUAACCGGGCGAUAAGCCUCCGAGAAAGCCACUGUUUGCCGCGCAAGCGGCGAUGGGAAGGCAGGAGUGCGCCGAGAGGAGCCCGGAAGCCAGGAGACCUGCCCGAACCGUUACAGCUGA